AUGGAGCUCCUCUGCCAUCUCAUCGAUGACCAUGACUGGCCGUCAACUGAGUUUGAGUACGGCCGGCGUUUCAAACUGCAGAUUCAGGAAGGAAUGCAUGUUCUCCACACACAAGAGGUUGGUCCCCUGUUCCUGGUGAAAUUCACGCCGUUGCCGCCUUUCGGCAAUGCCACCUCCACCUUGUGCAUAGAUCCUCAUGCCGUGGCAGCGGAGCGCAAGUUCAAAUGUCAAGCUGGUUUCCACAGUGACGCCAUGCCUUGGAAGCAGUAUUCAGAUUUCCACAUCAGAAGCACCAAUCUCUCCAACGGCUUACCAACGGAGGAUGGCAGCUGCUCAUUCGUUGUGCCAAAUGCUCCUUCUGACCAGCCCACCGCUGCUUGCUUCUCCGUCAGUAUCGAUAAGAUAUCUCGUGGCAGCAUGUGCUUAACUGGCAGUAUGUGA
rnacentral:rRNA from 1 species